UACAGAGGUCUCAAGCGUUGUUCGGAUUCAUUGGGCGUAAAGGGUGCGUAGGCGGCGCGGUAAGUCGGGUGUGAAAUCUUGGAGCUUAACUCCGAAACUGCAUUCGAUACUGCCGUGCUUGAGGACUGGAGAGGAGACUGGAAUUUACGGUGUAGCGGUGAAAUGCGUAGAUAUCAUUUGGAACGCCAAUGGUGAAAACAGGUAGCUGGGGCUGUGCUGACGCUGAGACACGAAAGCCAGGGGAGCGAACGGG
rnacentral:rRNA from 1 species